rnacentral:rRNA from 1 species
AGAGUUUGAUCCUGGCUCAGGAUGAACGCUAGCGGCAGGCCUAACACAUGCAAGUCGAGGGGUAACAGGAGAGCUUGCUCUUGCUGACGACCGGCGCACGGGUGAGUAACGCGUAUGCAACCUACCCUUUACUGGAGGAUAGCCCGGUGAAAACCGGAUUAAUACUCCAUAGUCUCUAUUUAUGGCAUCAUAAUAAGAGUAAACCUUUUAGGGGUAAAGGAUGGGCAUGCGUGACAUUAGAUAGUUGGUGAGGUAAUAGCUCACCAAGUCUACGAUGUCUAUGGGGUCUUAAAGGAUGAUCCCACACACUGGUACUGAGACACGGACCAGACUCCUACGGGAGGCAGCAGUGAGGAAUAUUGGUCAAUGGGCGCAAGCCUGAACCAGCCAUGCCGCGUGCAGGAAUACGGCUCUAGUAGUUGUAAACUGCUUUUAUACGGGAAGAAUGCUUUACUUUAGUAGAGAGGGACUGUACCGUACGAAUAAGGAUCGGCUAACUCCGUGCCAGCAGCCGCGGUAAUACGGAGGAUCCAAGCGUUAUCCGGAUUUAUUAGGUUUAAAGGGUACGUAGGCGGGAAUUUAAGUCAGUGGUGAAAUCUUGCAGCUUAACUGUAAAAUAGCCAUUGAUACUGAAUUUCUUGAGUAUAGACGAAGUGGGCGGAAUAUAUCAUGUAGCGGUGAAAUGCUUAGAUAUGAUAUAGAACACCAAUUGCGAAGGCAGCUCACUAGACUAUUACUGACGCUGAUGUACGAAAGCGUGGGUAGCGAACAGGAUUAGAUACCCUGGUAGUCCACGCCGUAAACGAUGAUUACUGGUUGUAUGCGAUACACUGUAUGCGACUUUAGCGAAAGCAUUAAGUAAUCCACCUGGGGAGUACGUUCGCAAGAAUGAAACUCAAAGGAAUUGACGGGGGCCCGCACAAGCGGAGGAACAUGUGGUUUAAUUCGAUGAUACGCGAGGAACCUUACCUGGGCUCAAACGCGAGCGCCCGACCGGGAGACCGGUUUUUCUAGCAAUAGACGCGAAGCGAGGUGCUGCAUGGCUGUCGUCAGCUCGUGCCGUGAGGUGUCGGGUUAAGUCCCAUAACGAGCGCAACCCCUAUCAUUAGUUACCAGCGAGUCAAGUCGGGGACUCUAAUGAGACUGCCACCGUAAGGUGAGAGGAAGGCGGGGAUGACGUCAAGUCAGCACGGCCCUUACGUCCAGGGCUACACACGUGUUACAAUGGCCGGUACAAAGGGCAGCUACACAGCAAUGUGAUGCUAAUCUCCAAAGCCGGUCCCAGUUCGGAUCGAAGUCUGUAACUCGACUUCGUGAAGUUGGAUUCGCUAGUAAUCGUGUAUCAGCAACGACACGGUGAAUACGUUCCCGGGCCUUGUACACACCGCCCGUCAAGCCAUGGAACC